rnacentral:lncRNA from 1 species
UCCUGGGAGAGCUGCUCCCCUGCAAGUUCCGCAAGUUUCUGUCCCAACUGCGGGCCAAGUGUGCGGAGGAGGAGCCGGAGCCGGAGCCGCAGGCACAGGGUGAAGCUCACCGAAGAGCAGAAGCGGGGUGGGGAGGCCGUCCCUCCUGGGGCUGCUCUGCCCUGCCCUUGCAGGUCGGUAGAGGCGCCGGAGUGAGGGCGCCCCCAGCCCCCAGCUCCUCCUCCUCCUGGCCCCCAGCGCCCUCAGCACCUCGACAUCAAAGUGGGGCGUCCGAGCCCUGGCGGCGUUCUCCGGGGUGUCCCAGCUGCCAGUUCCUCCCAGACCUGCAGGACCAGUUGUCCGGCUUCCAGGAGAGACUGGAGAAGAUUUUGCACCAGAGGACAUCUUCCCUGGGACAACUGAGUGGUGACCACUCACAAUUCCCCACAGUCAGAAAGGCCAGCUCGUUCUGUGGCACACCAGCCCCCGAGGCCAUGCCCACCCCUACCCCCUCCGGGGAAGGCUUGGGGCCCCGCAGGCACAGCUGCCCUUUCCAGGUACGGCUUGCUGAUGAGAUGCUCACGGACAGCGCUCUCUGCUACUGGGAACACAGCUGUGCAGGCAGGUGCUGUGCUGCUGAGCUACAUUCCCGCCCAUGCAAAGGGGUCUUAUGCAGGUGACAUGAAGCCAGGAACAAAAAGAAGCCAGGUGACCCCCCACCAGAAGGACAGGGCCAGCCUGGGAGAGACUCUCAUGCUGUGGCAGCAGGUCCAGCAGAGCAGGAUGUCCCCCCUGCCAGCGGAGUCGGUGUCCAAGCCGGGCCUCAGGAGCCUCGGGAGGUGGCUGGACAGUUUGCCCAGGUCUGGGUACCUCCGGGCCAAGGAGGACGCCAUGGCCAGCUCCUCGCGCUGGGCCCAACCUGGCCUGUGA